rnacentral:lncRNA from 1 species
CAUCGUUCUUGUUUUUUUUUUGUAUUUCGUCACUUGAUUUGAGAUAUAUUGGAACAAUCUGCAGAAAGUGGUAUUUGAUCUUCUCUACAAGGUGGCUGACAUCCCCUUGUUGGGUGAACACAAGUCCAAAGUACUGGUGAGUGAAUGACCAGGUGUUCUGAUGUUGCAUGUUGUUUCAUUUUUGUUUGUGUGGCUAAUACAUAGAUUUGUCUUGUAGGAUCUUCUUGUAAAGUACUGGUGAGUGGAUGAUUGGUGUUCUGUAUUUGCAUGUUGUUUCAUGUUUGCAUGUGUGACUAAUGCAGUAGACUUGUCGUGUAGGAUCUUCUUGAGAAAGCUGAGACACAGCCUAAUCUCACAAUUGG